UUUUCAUCCAGAAUCCGUAGAAAAAAAUGCAGUUUGUGAGGUUGUUCUUGUAAGUCUACUAGUCAUAUUCAUUUCAUUACUUUUAUGGGCCAAGUACCAAGACGAAUUGGAUAUUUUAAGAGGAGGUAUUCAUAUUUUACCCGAUAACUACCCGUGGGAAGAAGAAGUGUAUCUAAUAACAGUGUUUACUGGGAAUGCUGGUACAUCGGCAAAUGUUUGUAUUCAGUUACAUGGUACAAAAACAUCUAGCAGAGUCCACUGGCUGUAUAGUCACAAUUGUGAUGUAUUGCAGCGUUUAAGUGACGAUUGGUUCAUUUUACUGGAGCCUGCUCCAUUGGGUGAAAUCGAAUCAAUACAUUUGUGGCAUGACAAUUAUGGUGAUAAACCAGAAUGGUAUUGUAAGCGAGUAGACGUCAUAGAAAUUCGACGGAAUAUUAAAUGGAAUUUCAUUUUGGAACGAUGGUUUUCACUUUCAGAGGAUCAUCAAAA